AAAGGAAUAGACGGGGGCCCGCACAAGCAGCGGAGCAUGUGGUUUAAUUCGACGCAACGCGAAGAACCUUACCAGGUCUUGACAUCCAGUUAAAGUCAUAGAGAUAUGAUGUCUCUUCGGAGGAACUGAGACAGGUGGUGCAUGGUUGUCGUCAGCUCGUGUCGUGAGAUGUUGGGUUAAGUCCCGCAACGAGCGCAACCCUUGCUAAUAGUUACUAACGAGUAAAGUUGAGGACUCUAUUAGGACUGCCGGGGACAACUCGGAGGAAGGUGGGGACGACGUCAAAUCAUCAUGCCCCUUAUGACCUGGGCUACACACGUGCUACAAUGGCCGUAACAGAGAGGAGCGAAAGUGCAAGCUGGAGCAGAUCUCAAAAAAGCGGUCUCAGUUCGGAUUGUGGGCUGCAACCCGCCCACAUGAAGUCGGAGUUGCUAGUAAUCGCGGAUCAGCAUGCCGCGGUGAAUACGUUCCCGGGCCUUGUACACACCGCCCGU
rnacentral:rRNA from 1 species